UACGUAGGGGGCAAGCGUUGUCCGGAAUUAUUGGGCGUAAAGAGCGUGUAGGCGGCCCGAUUAGUCCGCUGUGAAAGUCCAGGGCUCAACCCUGGAAUGCCGGUGGAUACUGUCGGGCUAGAGUCCGGAAGGGGCGAGUGGAAUUCCUGGUGUAGCGGUGAAAUGCGCAGAUAUCAGGAGGAACACCAAUGGCGAAGGCAGCUCGCUGGGACGUGACUGACGCUGAGACGCGAAAGCGUGGGGGAGCAAACAGG
rnacentral:rRNA from 1 species